AUGUGCACCAACCAAACCCCCCCUUCCUUCUUUCCCCACCACGCCACCGCUCACGGGCAAAGCAGAAUCGCAAAACCCUCUCCCCUCUGCUCCACCCCAACGAGCGAAAUGCUCCGACGCCUCGCCGGCGCCGCCGCGGCGCCCCUCCGCCGCUCCCUCUGCACGGCCGCGGCGGCCUCCUCGCCCCCUCCGUGGGCCAUGCUCUACACCAAGCCGGCGCUGGACGCGUCGGGGGCGCCGUCGCGCGCGUCCCUCGACCUCCACGAGGACCUGUGGGCCCAGCUCUCCGUCCCCGCCCACCUCGUCGUCCCCGACGCCGGCGACGCCGCGGACUUCUUCGCCGGCGCCGUCCGCGCCGCGACCCCCGACGGCCUCCUCCUCCUCGACUUCUCCGACGCCCGCUGCCGCGCCCCGGUCAACGGCACCUUCCGCCCCAGCUGGCUGGCCGAGUUCGACGCCGCCGCCGGGUACGCCGGCGAGCCGGACGUCGCGCGCUUCGUCUGCAACCCGCUCAGCGGCCAGCUGGUCCGCCUCCCUGCCCCGGGCGCGGAGUUCGCGAGGUCGUCCACCGCAGGCUGCUCCACGGGUUUCGGCCUGCUCACCCACUCCGAAGGCUCCCGCGGCCCGCCCGACAGGUACGUGGUCGCUCAGCUCAGCCGCAGCCGCCGCGGGGGAGCGGACCACCCCGUCGUGUGCCGGUUCCUGUCGGAAACAGGGAAGUGGGACGAGCGGCGGCUGGCCGGCCCGUCCACGGUGCCGGCUAGCCGGGACAUGCGCAUAGACCCGAACCUCGAGGUGGUGGCAUUCGGCGACCGGCUGUGGUGGCUCGACCCGACCUGGGGCGUCUACUCCGUCGACCCUUUCAGCGACCAGCCGGAGCAUCGCUUCGUCAAGCUGCCCCCGGCCAGCGUGCUGCCUGACCUGAUUGACCUGGCCGGGACGCCGGUGCUGGGCAGGUACCGUCGUCUGGGGGUGAGCGAGGGGAAGCUGCGCUACGUGGAGGUGUCUAAGAGCAGGAAGCCAUUCGUGUGCAGCUCCUUCUCGCUCGACCAGAAGGACCACAUACCGUGCAUUGCCGCCAUCGAUCCAUUCCAGGCGAACUUUCUGUACCUCAUCUAUGGUCGCUUUCUUAUUGUUGUGGACAUGGCUAAGGGGAAAAGCUUAGGGGGCCGGUAUCUUCCAGAAAGAGCCGGCGAUCAAACCCUGUGCCCCUCUGGUUUUCUUGUGCCCUGCACGCUCCCAACAUGGCUAGGGUCCAGCUACAUCCCCUGUGCAGUUCUUGUGCGUUCAAACAUGAUUGAAGGGUCCCUUUCGAGCAAGAAGACCAAUUCCGGAAGGAACACUUGGGCCGCCACGCUGGUUCAUGCAGACAGGGACUGA
rnacentral:rRNA from 1 species